GCUGGGCACUGGUGGUGCCUGCCUGUAAUCCCAGUGACUAGGGAGGCUGAGGCAGGAGGAUUGUGAGUUCAAAGCUAGCCUCAGCAAAAGCAAGGUGCUAAGCAACUCGGUGACACCCUGUCUCUA
rnacentral:sRNA from 1 species